UACGUAGGUGGCGAGCGUUGUCCGGAAUUACUGGGCGUAAAGGGCGCGUAGGCGGUACCCUAAGUCAGAUGUGAAAACCCGGGGCUCAACUUCGGGACUGCAUUUGAAACUGGGGAACUCGAGUGUCGGAGAGGAAAGCGGAAUUCCUAGUGUAGCGGUGAAAUGCGUAGAUAUUAGGAGGAACACCAGUGGCGAAGGCGGCUUUCUGGACGAUAACUGACGCUGAGGCGCGAAAGCGUGGGGAGCAAAC
rnacentral:rRNA from 1 species